AUGUUAUAUGAAAGGAGAGAAGGUUAGCACUCCUCUUGUGAUGGACAGAUUGGCCUCUGGGCGUAAAUACAUACACAGUUAGGGCAGUGUCACCUACUCUCUUCCAACUUAACCAGAUUUUUAU
rnacentral:ncRNA from 1 species